rnacentral:lncRNA from 1 species
UAUGGUCAUUGUACUUAAUUACAUUUAUGCACUAGAGCAUUGGCCUGUUGGAAACUACAACUCCCUACUGCAUCACACAGCUCAGUCUGGUCUGAUUUAUCUCUGUCCAAUGUGAGGGAAAAAUCUAUGUUAACCUCUUUAAGUUUACGACUUCUAAUGUGUUGAAGGAUCUCUUUUAAGGUUGAGAAGUUUGUGUGGGUGUGCAACCACACACCCUCUGGGCAGACAGGCCAAAGGCGCUUGCUUGGCCCAAUUCAGGGAAUCUUUGAUCGACUUCAGAGGAACUGUGUCUAGGGUGAUUUCCUGUUGUUUUGACACCUCACUAGAUGACUAGAAUAACUAGCUGUUGCUACAGAACGAGACGACCAAUUCACAGUUCGUUUGUGUCUCGUUCUCCACACACGUACACGUUCAAAGAUCACUUGUUUUCUAUAUGCACAAGAUAGUUUGACGAUAUAAGGCUUCUGAACUCCUUGUGUCAUCGAGCUCUCGGCCUUCCACCUCAGAGUGUAGGGCUGACCAGCUACAUUAUUGCAAUUAUUAUCAAAUAAAGGUUGAUUGUUUGAAGAAAUGACAAAGUCUCUCCUGAUUGGUUAGAAUUUCCACCACAAUGUGCAGUAACAAUGUUAGACCAGACUCAUAAUAAAGAAUGAAAGACUGACUGCCCAGUUCAACGUUAGUUCACCGUCUCACCUCAUACAGUAUUGGAGCAGCAGCAGCUGACUUGAUCGUUGAUGCUAAUCAGCAUAUUUGAAUCUGAGAGUAAAUAGAGCCGACUACACUCUAAAAAUGAAGGGUUCAACUGGAGUUGUUCUCAGAUCCCCUAAGAACCGUAGGGUUCUUGUCAAUUAAAAACAACCCCAAAAGGUUCUUCAAAUUACUUGUUAGAAGGUGGGUUCAUCGAGGAACCUCCGUUGUUGCUGGACUUCUUCCGGAAACCUCGCAAUUACAACUGAAAACGCUGGUGGCAAGUUUGGAUGCGACAACAGUUAAAAAGGACAGAACAUGAACACAAUGCAAUUGGGAUCAAGAAGAUGUUCUCAGAAAUGAAUCAAGUCCAUGGAAUGGAUAUAGACAAAAAGAGGACUAGCAGAGGUAGAGAGGUGAGGCAGGGGUGAGGACAUCAUCCUGCUAUUUUGACAGUCCCUGAAGGACAAUACAGAAGAGGUACUUGCUCUUAUUCCUCUCCUUUUUCUAAUGUAUUUUGUAAUAAAAUUAGCAAGUGUAGUAAGAUCAUUGCUUUACUUUACUAGGACUGGAGACCACAGCAGCGAUUCUGCUCUUGCCCUACCUCUUCAAUGAGGACCCGAGUGGCCUUUAUGUCCUUGACAAUGUAUCAUCUGUUUCUUCAUAAACAUAGGUGUGCAUGCUUAUAUAAAACUACAGCUGAACAUUUG